rnacentral:rRNA from 1 species
UACGUAGGAUGCAAGCGUUGUCCGGAAUUAUUGGGCGUAAAGAGCGCGCAGGCGGUUUUACAAGUCAGAUGUGAAAUAUCCGGGCUUAACCCGGAGGGGUCAUUUGAAACUGUGAGACUAGAGUACAGCAGAGGAUAGCGGAAUUCCCGGUGUAGUGGUGAAAUGCGUAGAUAUCGGGAGGAACACCAGUGGCGAAGGCGGCUAUCUGGACCAGCACUGACACUGAGGCACA